rnacentral:misc_RNA from 1 species
UUGAAAUCUCUGUCUGGAGUUGAGGAUUGAACUGUUAUGGGUUUUGUGUUUCUUGGUUCAUUGAAUAGUGUUGUGAUGAUUUGUAUAUGAACUUAUUGGAUUGAAUCUCAGAUGGACUUGUCAAAUUGUAAGCAAUUGAGAUUUUUUGGAGUCCAUUUGAACUUCUUGGCUGCAAAAUGCUUGCUGUUGGUUGUAAUUGCUUUGUUCCUUGGAACUGUUCUGCUUCCAACAUUCUCUGGAUUUG